CUGUGUGAAUCAAAGACCCGUAUUGAUGAGGCCAGUGUCAGUGAAGAUGGUGUGGUCACUGGAAUCCUGGUGUUUGUGGGAAAUGUGAAGGAGCUUCUCCCAGGAUUCUACUACAGUGUUGUCCUGAUGACUGAGGUAUUUAUUUUUUUUACUUUCUUGCCUCUUUGGAACAUGUUCAUUUAUGCAUACUGUGUAGAGGUGGUUCGCAGCUUCAUGGACA